rnacentral:rRNA from 1 species
ACUCCUACGGGAGGCAGCAGUGGGGAAUAUUGCACAAUGGGCGCAAGCCUGAUGCAGCCAUGCCGCGUGUGUGAAGAAGGCCUUCGGGUUGUAAAGCACUUUCAGUAGGGAGGAAGGUGGUAGUGUUAAUAGCGCUUAUUCAUUGAUGAUCCUACAGAAGAAGCACCGGCUAACUCCGUGCCAGCAGCCGCGGUAAUACGGAGGGUGCGAGCGUUAAUCGGAAUUACUGGGCGUAAAGCGCAUGCAGGCGGCCUGUUAAGUCAGAUGUG